GACCGGCCACACUGGGACUGAGACACGGCCCAGACUCCUGCGGGAGGCAGCAGUGGGGAAUAUUGCGCAAUGGGCGAAAGCCUGACGCAGCGACGCCGCGUGGGGGAUGACGGCCUUCGGGUUGUAAACCUCUUUUACCACCAACGCAGGCUCCGGGUUCUCUCGGGGUUGACGGUAGGUGGGGAAUAAGGACCGGCUAACUACGUGCCAGCAGCCGCGGUAAUACGUAGGGUCCGAGCGUUGUCCGGAAUUAUUGGGCGUAAAGAGCUCGUAGGCGGCGUGUCGCGUCUGCUGUGAAAGACCGGGGCUUAACUCCGGUUCUGCAGUGGAUACGGGCAUGCUAGAGGUAGGUAGGGGAGACUGGAAUUCCUGGUGUAGCGGUGAAAUGCGCAGAUAUCAGGAGGAACACCGGUGGCGAAGGCGGGUCUCUGGGCCUUACCUGACGCUGAGGAGCGAAAGCAUGGGGAGCGAACAGGAUUAGAUACCCUGGUAGUCCAUGCCGUAAACGUUGGGCGCUAGG
rnacentral:rRNA from 1 species